GGAGCCAGUGUAGUGGUUUGAGCUUCAGACUCCAACUCUGGAGACCAGGGUUCGAAUCCCAGUCCA